rnacentral:hammerhead_ribozyme from 1 species
AUCCAGCUGAUGAGUCCAAAAAAGGACGAGACGUGCGUCCUGGAU